GACGAACGCUGGCGGCGUGCCUAAUACAUGCAAGUAGAACGCUGAAGGAGGAGCUUGCUCUUCUGGAUGAGUUGCGAACGGGUGAGUAACGCGUAGGUAACCUGCCUGGUAGCGGGGGAUAACUAUUGGAAACGAUAGCUAAUACCGCAUAACAGUAGAUGUUGCAUGACAUUUGCUUAAAAGGUGCAAUUGCACCACUACCAGAUGGACCUGCGUUGUAUUAGCUAGUUGGUGGGGUAACGGCUCACCAAGGCGACGAUACAUAGCCGACCUGAGAGGGUGAUCGGCCACACUGGGACUGGGACACGGCCCAGACUCCUACGGGAGGCAGCAGUAGGGAAUCUUCGGCAAUGGACGGAAGUCUGACCGAGCAACGCCGCGUGAGUGAAGAAGGGUUUCGGAUCGUAAAGCUCUGUUGUAAGAGAAGAACGAGUGUGAGAGUGGAAAGUUCACACUGUGACGGUAUCUUACCAGAAAGGGACGGCUAACUACGUG
rnacentral:rRNA from 1 species